rnacentral:rRNA from 1 species
AGUGAACGCUGGCGGCAUGCCUAACACAUGCAAGUCGAACGAAGCCUUCGGGCUUAGUGGCGCACGGGUGCGUAACGCGUGGGAAUCUGCCCUUGGGUUCGGAAUAACUCUCCGAAAGGAGUGCUAAUACCGGAUGAUGUCGAAAGACCAAAGAUUUAUCGCCCAGGGAUGAGCCCGCGUAGGAUUAGCUAGUUGGUGAGGUAAAAGCUCACCAAGGCGACGAUCCUUAGCUGGUCUGAGAGGAUGAUCAGCCACACUGGGACUGAGACACGGCCCAGACUCCUACGGGAGGCAGCAGUGGGGAAUAUUGGACAAUGGGCGAAAGCCUGAUCCAGCAAUGCCGCGUGAGUGAUGAAGGCCUUAGGGUUGUAAAGCUCUUUUACCCGGGAUGAUAAUGACAGUACCGGGAGAAUAAGCCCCGGCUAACUCCGUGCCAGCAGCCGCGGUAA